GAUGAAGAACGUAGCGAAAUGCGAUAAGUAGUGUGAAUUGCAGAAUUCAGUGAAUCAUCGGAUCUUUGAACGCACAUUGCGCCCUUUGGUAUUCCUUAGGGCAUGCCUGUUCGAGCGUCAUUUAAACCUUCAAGCUAAGCUUGGUGUUGGGUGACUGUCCGCUUCACGGCGGACUCGCCUCAAAAUUAUUGGCGGCCGGUACAUUGGCUUCGAGCGCAGCAGAAACGCGAACUCGGGCCCGUCGUAUUGGCUCCCAGAAGCUAUCUUCACAAUUUUGACCUCGGAUCAGGUAGGGAUACCCGCUGAACUUAAGCAUAUCAAUAAGCGGAGGA
rnacentral:misc_RNA from 1 species